AUGCUGGCUUCAGCAGCACAUAUAUUAAAAUUAGCAUGAUACAGAGUUUGUAUGACCCAUGCACAAGGAUGACAGGUAAAUUUGUGAAGUAUUCCAUAUUUUU